rnacentral:lncRNA from 1 species
CUUGCUUGUGGGGGAACCGCACCUGAGGCUCUGCUUGGCGCGGGCCCGGGGCUGGCCAGCAGCCUGCUCCGCGCGGAUCCGGGGAAUGCGUGAGAGGAGAGCAGCUCUGAGCCCUGCUUCCAAGGGGCGCGCCCGGUUAUUCCCCUCGCUCCCUCAGUCCGACCCCGGGCGCUCCCCCGCGGAGAUUGAUGAGGAACCUGAGUCUCAGAGAGAGUGAAGAACUUGCCUAGCAUCUGUGGUAGGCUGAAAAGUGGCCCCCCAAAAGAUAUCUACAUCCUAGUCUCUACAACCUGUGGAUGUUAGCUUACAUGGCAAAAAAGGUUGAGGGAGCUCUGCAGAUGUGAUUAUGCUGAGGAUCUUGAGAUGGGAGCUUACCCUGGAUGAUAUGGACAGGCUCUGAAUGCCAUUACAUGUUCAUAAGAGGGAAGCAGAGAGAGAUUCUACGAGACACAGAGGGCAGAAGAUGAUGUGAUGGUGGAAGCAGAGAGAAAGAUUUGAAGAUGCUGCUACCUGUGGAGAUGGAGGAAGGGCCCAUGAGCCAAGGAAAGUAGCUCUAGAAGCUGGACAAGUUAAGGAAACAGAUUCCCCCCUAGAGCCUCUGGAGGGAAGUGGCCCUGCUGGCACCUUAUCAAACUGACACCAUUGCCACUGAUUUCAGACUUCUUGCCUUCAGAACUCUGGUAGUCAGGUCACACUUUAUUAGACAAAAAUACAGCCUUUGCAGUCAGAUCUGAAUUCAAAUCCUCGCUCCACCACUUAAAAACAGUGUGACUGCAGACAAAUUUUUUAACCUCUCCGAGCCUCGUACUGAGAUUUACCCCUUUAAAUACGCAUGAUGUCACAGAUUGGGUUCUCCAGGAAGUGGAUUCUGAGAUGGUGUGUAGCCUACAGGAUGUUUCUUAGAGAACCUUUGGAGUCAAUACCACAAGAAGGAAGGGAACGCAGCAAAUUUGGAUGGAGGGAGAAGUCAAACUGAAAUGUCCCAUCAGAGUUGUAUUGAUCUGGGCUGACGUGGCCCGGCCUUUCUACCCUGGCUGGCUCAGUCAUGGGCUGUAUGCCCUUGCAGAGGCAGCUCUCUGCAGUGGAGGUGAUCUCAGAAGGGGCAGACUACACUUCCUGCAGCUGGGAAUGGAGUUCUUCCCCGAAAAUGCGCCUGGGGACACAUCCUCGUAUCCACUGCCCAAGGCAGAGUGGAAAGAGCACUGGGUGGGAACUGGGAUGCCAGUUCUGCAUCUGCCACUUACCAGCUAUGUGACUUCAGGCAAGCCCUGCCCUUCUAGGAGCCUUCUCAGCUUAUCUGGGUGAAAGUGGCUAAGAUGACAUCCCUAACCAAUUAGUGUAUAGCACUUUGCAAUUCACCGGUUAGUUUUGUGUUUCUUAACUCGCAACAACCUUACAAUGCCAGCAUUUAGUCACAACAAAGAGUUCCAGGGCAGUGCUGUGUUACUCCAAUGUGGUCUGGAGACCAAUGCACGUCCAUGAACAGCUUGUUACUGGUUCUUGACAAAAUAAUUACAGAAAUGGAGCGGAACUGUUCAGAGACUUCAGAGCAAUAUGGCACAGUAAUUUCAUGUCUGUUGAAACUAAUAAUAAAAUGUUAUACUAUG